rnacentral:misc_RNA from 1 species
CCGAGUUUACAACUCCCAAACCCAAUGUGAACGUUGCCAAACUGUUGCCUCGGCGGGAUCUUCUGCCCCGGGUGCGUCGCAGCCCCGGACCAAGGCGCCCGCCGGAGGACCAACUCCAAAACUCUUUUGUAUACCCCUCGCGGGUUUUUUAUAUCUGAGCCAUCUCGGCGCCUCUCGUAGGCGUUUCGAAAAUGAAUCA